UGGGGAAUAUUGGACAAUGGGGGGAACCCUGAUCCAGCCAUGCCGCGUGUGUGAAGAAGGCCUUAUGGUUGUAAAGCACUUUAAGCGAGGAGGAGGGUACUGGUAUUAAUACUACCAGCUACUGGACGUUACUCGCAGAAUAAGCACCGGCUAACUCUGUGCCAGCAGCCGCGGUAAUACAGAGGGUGCGAGCGUUAAUCGGAUUUACUGGGCGUAAAGCGUGCGUAGGCGGCUAAUUGAGUCGGAUGUGAAAUCCCCGAGCUUAACUUGGGAAUUGCAUUCGAUACUGGUUAGCUAGAGUGUGGGAGAGGAUGGUAGAAUUCCAGGUGUAGCGGUGAAAUGCGUAGAGAUCUGGAGGAAUACCGAUGGCGAAGGCAGCCAUCUGGCCUAACACUGACGCUGAGGUACGAAAGCAUGGGGAGCAAUCAGG
rnacentral:rRNA from 1 species